rnacentral:rRNA from 1 species
UAACGCGUGAGUAACCUGCCUUUCAGAGGGGGAGUAACGUUCUGAAAAGAAACGCUAAUACCGCAUGAGACUACAGAGCUGCAUGGCUCAGUGGUCAAAGGAGCAAUCCGCUGAAAGAUGGACUCGCGUCCGAUUAGCCAGUUGGCGGGGUAACGGCCCACCAAAGCGACGAUCGGUAGCCGGCCUGAGAGGGCGACCGGCCACAUUGGGACUGAGACACGGCCCAAACUCCUACGGGAGGCAGCAUG